rnacentral:rRNA from 1 species
UGAGUACGAGUUUGAUCCGUGGCUACAGGACGAACGCUGGCGGCGUGCCUAACACAUGCAAGUCGAACGGGGUAAUUCCUUCGGGGAUUACUUAGUGGCGAACGGGUGAGUAACGCGUGAGGAACCUGCCUUUCAGUGGGGGACAACAGUUGGAAACGACUGCUAAUACCGCAUAAUGUUGUCGGAUGGCAUCAUCUGGCAACCAAAGCUUUAUGUGCUGAAAGAUGGCCUCGCGUCUGAUUAGAUAGUUGGUGAGGUAACGGCUCACCAAGUCGACGAUCAGUAGCCGGACUGAGAGGUUGAACGGCCACAUUGGGACUGAGAUACGGCCCAGACUCCUACGGGAGGCAGCAGUGGGGAAUAUUGGGCAAUGGGGGAAACCCUGACCCAGCAACGCCGCGUGAAGGAAGAAGGCCUUCGGGUUGUAAACUUCUUUUAGCAGGGACGAAGGACGUGACGGUACCUGCAGAAAAAGCAACGGCUAACUACGUG